GUGGAUCUGGCUCAACUGGUACAGCACUGGUCUCGAAAACCGGCAGGCGAAAUGGUUCGUCGUGAGGGUUCGACUCCCUCGGUCCACG
rnacentral:tRNA from 1 species